rnacentral:misc_RNA from 1 species
AAGUCGUAACAAGGUUUCCGUAGGUGAACCUGCGGAAGGAUCAUUAACACGUAUCCAACGUUAAACAACCCUGUGAACUUUAUGAGGAACAGCAAUCCCGGUAAAUCAUUGCCAAACAGUUUUGAUUCGGGACCUCUGUCCAAAAGGAGUUGCAAUCGAAGGGUGGAAGCAGUGGCAUGGCUUCCCCAAGCAGUUAGUGAAUGACAGUGUCACUGACUGUGUAAGGAUAACGCCUCACGGUUGCUAGAGGUCGAUCACCGACCGGCAGACAUGUCACAGGGUCACCACGCCCCUUAAUCACUCCACUUGAAAAUGCCCCGCCUAGUGGUAACGCGCUAGGUAAAAAAAACCGAACAACUGUUAACAAUGGAUAUCUUGGUUCUC